rfam:Fibulorhizoctonia sp. CBS 109695 unplaced genomic scaffold FIBSPscaffold_70, whole genome shotgun sequence.
GGCGAUGUAGCCAAGUGGUUACGGCGAUUGAUUCGAAUAUCUCGAACCAUCAAUUCCUCUUGUAGGGCGUAGGUUCGAAUCCUGCCAUCGUCG